rnacentral:rRNA from 1 species
UACGUAGGGUGCAAGCGUUGUCCGGAAUUAUUGGGCGUAAAGAGCUCGUAGGCGGUCUGUCGCGUCGGAAGUGAAAACCUGGGGCUUAACCCCGGGCCUGCUUUCGAUACGGGCAGACGUAGAGUUCGGCAGGGGAGACGUGGAAUUCCUGGUGUAGCGGUGAAAUGCGCAGAUAUCAGGAGGAAUACCGAUGGCGAAGGCAGGUCUCUGGGCUGACACUGACGCUCAUGCACGAAAGCGUGGGGAGCAAACAGG